rnacentral:rRNA from 1 species
AUGGCGUCAGGCACAGGGAACUGCAAGAAGAAGAAAGACACGGAGAGUAGCCCGGUGUCCGAGCUUUCCGACGAUUUCCUCGUCGAGAUCUUCUCUCGCGUGCCCUACAGGUCCACAUGCUGCUUCAAGUGCGUCUCCGGGCGCUGGCGCGACCUCGUCUCCCACCCGGACCACCGCAAGAAGCUGCCCCAGUCGACCCUUGCCGGCAUCUUCUACCAAAUCCGCAACAAGAAUACAGGUUACCAAAGCCUAUCGGGGAACUGGACACGCCUUGGUCCCAACAAUAUAGCAGACUACGUGGUGUGCAAUCCCGUCACUGAAAGGUGGGUGGUUGUGCGUGCCACCAACUGCUCCAGCAACGUCUCGAUCGCUCGCCUGGGGUUCGACCCGGCCGUCUCCUCCCACUUCCAUGUGUUCCAGUUUGCGCCUGCUGAUUUUGUGGGUGCGAAUAGGCCGACGAUUGCUGGUGCUACUACAGACAUCAAAUCAGUGGGGAUCUACUCAUCCAAAGCUGCAGUUUGGGCACGUCGAGUUGGCUGGAAGAGUCCAAUAUCGGUACGCCGCACUUCAGAAAGCGUGUUUUUCAGGGGGAUGCUGUAUCUGUCUACGAAUGCUGGUUUGGUUAUAGGUGUUGGCGUGGAGGGAAACGUAGGGUCAUCCGUGCCCCUAUGA